rnacentral:rRNA from 1 species
CACGUAGUUAGCCGUGGCUUGCUUUUUCCGGUACCGUCAAUGCAGUUUGUUCUUCGCACUCUGCCUUUUCGUCCCGGAUCACAGAGUUUUACAACCCGAAGGCCGUCAUCACUCACGCGGCGUUGCUCCGUCAGGCUUUCGCCCAUUGCGGAAGAUUCCCCACUGCUGCCUCCCGUAGGAGUCUGGACCGUGUCUCAGUUCCAGUGUGGCCGUUCAUCCUCUCAGACCGGCUACUGAUCGUCGCCUUGGUGGGCCGUUACCCCUCCAACCAGCUAAUCAGACGCAAACCCCUCUUCAGGCGAUAGCUUACAGGGUAGAGGCCACCUUUUCUCCAUGGGCCAUGCGGCUCGUUGGAACUUAUUCGGUAUUAGCAGUCGUUUCCGUCUGUUCGUCCCCAUCCUGAAGGCAGGUUGUUUACGUGUUACUCUACCCGUUUGCCUACUCAAUUCCGGGAAAAGUAGCAAGCUUCCUUUCCCUCUUUUCGUUCACUUGCUAUCGUGUUAAGCCUACGCCCGCACGUCCGUCGUUCCUGCGU